UACGGGGGGAGCAAGCGUUGUUCGGAUUUACUGGGCGUAAAGGGCGCGUAGGCGGCCAGCGCAAGUCAGUUGUGAAAUCUCCGGGCUUAACUCGGAACGGUCAACUGAUACUGCGCGGCUAGAGUGCAGAAGGGGCAACUGGAAUUCUCGGUGUAGCGGUGAAAUGCGUAGAUAUCGAGAGGAACACCUGCGGCGAAGGCGGGGUGCUGGGCUGACACUGACGCUGAUGCGCGAAAGCCAGGGGAGCGAACGGG
rnacentral:rRNA from 1 species